rnacentral:rRNA from 1 species
GACAGAGGGUGCAAACGUUGCUCGGAAUCACUGGGCGUAAAGGGCGUGUAGGCGGGACAGUAAGUCGGGCGUGAAAUCCCUGGGCUCAACCCAGGAACUGCACUCGAAACUACUAUUCUUGAGUGUCGGAGAGGAAAGCGGAAUUCCUGGUGUAGAGGUGAAAUUCGUAGAUAUCAGGAGGAACACCAGUGGCGAAGGCGGCUUUCUGGACGAUAACUGACGCUGAGACGCGAAAGCGUGGGGAGCAAACAGGG